rnacentral:rRNA from 1 species
AUUGAACGCUGGCGGUAGGCCUAACACAUGCAAGUCGAACGGCAGCAGAGUAAGAGCUUGCUCUGACUGGUGGCGAGUUGCGUACUGGUUAGGAAUGUAUCGGGACCUGCUUUUUCGUUGGUCGUAAGGUUGGGUAAUUUACGAUACUACCUCUUACGGACUGCGGGUGACAGUAGGGGAUCUUCGGAUCUUGCGCGAUUGUAUCAGCUGAUGUCGGAUUAGCUAGUUGGUGGGGUAAAGGCACACCAAGGCGACGAUCUGUAGCUGGUCUGAGAGGACGACCAGCCACACUGGAACUGAGACACGGCCCAGACUCCUACGGGAGGCAGCAGUGGGGAAUAUUGGACAAUGGGCGCAAGCCUGAUCCAGCAAUGCUGCGUGGGGGAAGAAGGCCUUCGGGUUGUAAAGUGCUUUUGUAGGGAAAGAAAAGGAGCAGGUUAAUACCCGGCGGUAAUGACGGUACCGUAAGAAUAAGCACCGGCUAACUACGUG